rnacentral:lncRNA from 1 species
GUAGCAUACUACCAUUCCCACGUUCAGGCAGAUAUCAUCUUGUUGCAUACUAUCCUUACAAAUUGGAGGUUCUGACACAUAAAGAAGCCAAAGGUCAUUUUAAGAUACUUGAAACAUCUUUCUCAGGAACAAGAUAAUCAAAGUUUCUACCCCUCCCAACUACUCAAUCCAUUGAACAAGUACAGCUGGUACUGUUCUCAGAGGGUGGUUCUCUCUAUGUUGAACUAGAUGUUCCAGAAAUGGCUGGGUAGACCAGGCUGAACUCAACUUCACAGAAAUCCCCCUAUCUCUACUUCUCAUGUCAGGACAAUAAAGGCAUUUACCUACCAAGAAACACGGGUUCAGAUUCUUUCCCUGGCUUUUCUUUCAUGCUGAUUUAUUAGUGUUCUCUGGAUGGAAUAUCUGUGUUUAUCCCUGUGAUGUGUCUAUUACAUAUGCUUCAAAUUCUUCAUUUUUCAUUUUCUCUAUGAAUGCUACUUCUUUUCUUAUGUAUGGUUUUCUUCCUCUGUGGUGCUG